rnacentral:rRNA from 1 species
GACGAACGCUGGCGGCGUGCCUAAUACAUGCAAGUCGAGCGAGUCUGCCUUGAAGAUCGGAGUGCUUGCACUCUGUGAAACAAGAUACAGGCUAGCGGCGGACGGGUUAGUAACACGUGGGUAACCUGCCCAAGAGAUCGGGAUAACACCUGGAAACAGAUGCUAAUACCGGAUAACAACAGAUGAUGCCUAUCAACUGUUUAAAAGAUGGUUCUGCUAUCACUCUUGGAUGGACCUGCGGUGCAUUAGCUAGUUGGUAGGGUAACGGCCUACCAAGGCGAUGAUGCAUAGCCGAGUUGAGAGACUGAUCGGCCACAUUGGGACUGAGACACGGCCCAAACUCCUACGGGAGGCAGCAGUAGGGAAUCUUCCACAAUGGACGCAAGUCUGAUGGAGCAACGCCGCGUGAGUGAAGAAGGGUUUCAGCUCGUAAAGCUCUGUUGUUGGUGAAGAAGGACAGGGGUAGUAACUGACCUUUGUUUGACGGUAAUCAAUUAGAAAGUCACGGCUAACUACGUG